rnacentral:rRNA from 1 species
GAUGAACGCUGGCGGCGUGCUUAACACAUGCAAGUCGAACGAAGCAAUUUAGCGGAAGUUUUCGGAUGGAAGUUAGAUUGACUGAGUGGCGGACGGGUGAGUAACGCGUGGGUAACCUGCCUCGCACUGGGGGACAACAGUUAGAAAUGACUGCUAAUACCGCAUAAGCGCACAGGACUGCAUGGUCUAGUGUGAAAAACUCCGGUGGUGUGAGAUGGACCCGCGUUUGAUUAGCUAGUUGGUGGGGUAACGGCCUACCAAGGCGACGAUCAAUAGCCGACCUGAGAGGGUGACCGGCCACAUUGGGACUGAGACACGGCCCAAACUCCUACGGGAGGCAGCAGUGGGGAAUAUUGCACAAUGGGCGAAAGCCUGAUGCAGCGACGCCGCGUGAGUGAAGAAGUAUUUCGGUAUGUAAAGCUCUAUCAGCAGGGAAGAAAAUGACGGUACCUGACUAAGAAGCCCCGGCUAACUACGUGCCAGCAGCCGCGGUAAUACGUAGGGGGCAAGCGUUAUCCGGAUUUACUGGGUGUAAAGGGAGCGUAGACGGUAAAGCAAGUCUGAAGUGAAAGCCCGGGGCUCAACCCCGGGACUGCUUUGGAAACUGUUUAACUAGAGUGCUGGAGAGGUAAGCGGAAUUCCUAGUGUAGCGGUGAAAUGCGUAGAUAUUAGGAGGAACACCAGUGGCGAAGGCGGCUUACUGGACAGUAACUGACGUUGAGGCUCGAAAGCAUGGGUAGCAAACAGGAUUAGAUACCCUGGUAGUCCAUGCCGUAAACGAUGAUUACUAGGUGUUGGGGGAUUGACCCCCUCAGUGCCGCAGUUAACACAAUAAGUAAUCCACCUGGGGAGUACGACCGCAAGGUUGAAACUCAAAGGAAUUGACGGGGGCCCGCACAAGCAGUGGAGUAUGUGGUUUAAUUCGAAGCAACGCGAAGAACCUUACCAGGUCUUGACAUCCGAUGCAUAGCACAGAGAUGUGUGAAAUCCCUCGGGACAUCGAGACAGGUGGUGCAUGGUUGUCGUCAGCUCGUGUCGUGAGAUGUUGGGUUAAGUCCCGCAACGAGCGCAACCCUUAUUGCCAGUUACUACGUUAAGAGGACUCUGGCGAGACUGCCGUUGACAAAACGGAGGAAGGUGGGGAUGACGUCAAAUCAUCAUGCCCUUUAUGACCUGGGCUACACACGUACUACAAUGGCGUUAAACAAAGAGAAGCAAGACCGCGAGGUGGAGCAAAACUCAAAAACAACGUCUCAGUUCAGAUUGCAGGCUGCAACUCGCCUGCAUGAAGUCGGAAUUGCUAGUAAUCGCGGAUCAGCAUGCCGCGGUGAAUACGUUCCCGGGCCU